ensembl:snRNA U6 U6 spliceosomal RNA
GUGCUUGCUUCGGCAGCACAUACGCUAAGAAGAUACAGAGAAGAUUAGCGUGGCCUUGUGCAAGGAUGACAUGUGAAUCCAUGAAGUGUUCCAUAUUAAA